CACAGAUAGGCAACCUUCGGCACUCCAGAUGUUGUGGACUACAUCCCUCAUAAUGCUGGCAAAGCACCAUGGGAGGUGUAGUCCAAAACAUCUGGAGUGCCAAAGGUUGCCUAUGCCUGUG